GGGUCGCUAGCUCAACUGGCUAGAGCAACCGGCUCUUAACCGGUAGGUUCGGGGUUCGAGUCCCCGGCGACCCA
rnacentral:tRNA from 1 species